rnacentral:rRNA from 1 species
GGGUUGUGAGGUUAAGCGACUAAGCGUACACGGUGGAUGCCCUGGCAGUCAGAGGCGAUGAAGGGCGUGCUAAUCUGCGAUAAGCGCCGGUAAGGUGAUAUGAACCGUUAUAACCGGCGAUACCCGAAUGGGGAAACCCAGUGUGACUCGUCACACUAUCAUUAACUGAAUCCAUAGGUUAAUGAGGCGAACCGGGGGAACUGAAACAUCUAAGUACCCCGAGGAAAAGAAAUCAACCGAGAUUCCCCCAGUAGCGGCGAGCGAACGGGGAGGAGCCCAGAGCCUGAAUCAGCAUGUGUGUUAGUGGAAGCGUCUGGAAAGGCGCGCGAUACAGGGUGACAGCCCCGUACACAAAAGCGCAUGUGCUGUGAGCUCGAUGAGUAGGGCGGGACACGUGGUAUCCUGUCUGAAUAUGGGGGGACCAUCCUCCAAGGCUAAAUACUCCUGACUGACCGAUAGUGAACCAGUACCGUGAGGGAAAGGCGAAAAGAACCCCGGCGAGGGGAGUGAAAAAGAACCUGAAACCGUGUACGUACAAGCAGUGGGNNNNNNNNNNNNNNNNNNNNNNNNNNNNNNNNNNNNNNNNNGGGUCAGCGACUUAUAUUCUGUAGCAAGGUUAACCGAAUAGGGGAGCCGGAGGGAAACCGAGUCUUAAUUGGGCGUUAAGUUGCAGGGUAUAGACCCGAAACCCGGUGAUCUAGCCAUGGGCAGGUUGAAGGUUGGGUAACACUAACUGGAGGACCGAACCGACUAAUGUUGAAAAAUUAGCGGAUGACCUGUGGCUGGGGGUGAAAGGCCAAUCAAACCGGGAGAUAGCUGGUUCUCCCCGAAAGCUAUUUAGGUAGCGCCUCGUGAAUUCAUCUCCGGGGGUAGAGCACUGUUUCGGCUAGGGGGCCAUCCCGGCUUACCAACCCGAUGCAAACUGCGAAUACCGGAGAAUGUUAUCACGGGAGACACACGGCGGGUGCUAACGUCCGUCGUGAAGAGGGAAACAACCCAGACCGCCAGCUAAGGUCCCAAAGUCAUGGUUAAGUGGGAAACGAUGUGGGAAGGCCCAGACAGCCAGGAUGUUGGCUUAGAAGCAGCCAUCAUUUAAAGAAAGCGUAAUAGCUCACUGGUCGAGUCGGCCUGCGCGGAAGAUGUAACGGGGCUAAACCAUGCACCGAAGCUGCGGCAGCGACACUGUGUGUUGUUGGGUAGGGGAGCGUUCUGUAAGCCUGCGAAGGUGGCCUGUGAGGGUUGCUGGAGGUAUCAGAAGUGCGAAUGCUGACAUAAGUAACGAUAAAGCGGGUGAAAAGCCCGCUCGCCGGAAGACCAAGGGUUCCUGUCCAACGUUAAUCGGGGCAGGGUGAGUCGACCCCUAAGGCGAGGCCGAAAGGCGUAGUCGAUGGGAAACGGGUUAAUAUUCCCGUACUUGGUGUUACUGCGAAGGGGGGACGGAGAAGGCUAUGUUGGCCGGGCGACGGUUGUCCCGGUUUAAGCGUGUAGGUGUGUGUUCCAGGUAAAUCCGGUUCACUUUAACACUGAGGCGUGACGACGAGGCACUACGGUGCUGAAGCAACAAAUGCCCUGCUUCCAGGAAAAGCCUCUAAGCAUCAGGUAACAUCAAAUCGUACCCCAAACCGACACAGGUGGUCAGGUAGAGAAUACCAAGGCGCUUGAGAGAACUCGGGUGAAGGAACUAGGCAAAAUGGUGCCGUAACUUCGGGAGAAGGCACGCUGACACGUAGGUGAAGUGAUUUACUCAUGGAGCUGAAGUCAGUCGAAGAUACCAGCUGGCUGCAACUGUUUAUUAAAAACACAGCACUGUGCAAACACGAAAGUGGACGUAUACGGUGUGACGCCUGCCCGGUGCCGGAAGGUUAAUUGAUGGGGUCAGCGCAAGCGAAGCUCCUGAUCGAAGCCCCGGUAAACGGCGGCCGUAACUAUAACGGUCCUAAGGUAGCGAAAUUCCUUGUCGGGUAAGUUCCGACCUGCACGAAUGGCGUAAUGAUGGCCAGGCUGUCUCCACCCGAGACUCAGUGAAAUUGAACUCGCUGUGAAGAUGCAGUGUACCCGCGGCAAGACGGAAAGACCCCGUGAACCUUUACUAUAGCUUGACACUGAACAUUGAGCCUUGAUGUGUAGGAUAGGUGGGAGGCUUUGAAGUGUGGACGCCAGUCUGCAUGGAGCCGACCUUGAAAUACCACCCUUUAAUGUUUGAUGUUCUAACGUGGACCCGUUACCCGGGUUGCGGACAGUGUCUGGUGGGUAGUUUGACUGGGGCGGUCUCCUCCUAAAGAGUAACGGAGGAGCACGAAGGUUGGCUAAUCCUGGUCGGACAUCAGGAGGUUAGUGCAAUGGCAUAAGCCAGCUUGACUGCGAGCGUGACGGCGCGAGCAGGUGCGAAAGCAGGUCAUAGUGAUCCGGUGGUUCUGAAUGGAAGGGCCAUCGCUCAACGGAUAAAAGGUACUCCGGGGAUAACAGGCUGAUACCGCCCAAGAGUUCAUAUCGACGGCGGUGUUUGGCACCUCGAUGUCGGCUCAUCACAUCCUGGGGCUGAAGUAGGUCCCAAGGGUAUGGCUGUUCGCCAUUUAAAGUGGUACGCGAGCUGGGUUUAGAACGUCGUGAGACAGUUCGGUCCCUAUCUGCCGUGGGCGCUGGAGAACUGAGGGGGGCUGCUCCUAGUACGAGAGGACCGGAGUGGACGCAUCACUGGUGUUCGGGUUGUCAUGCCAAUGGCACUGCCCGGUAGCUAAAUGCGGAAGAGAUAAGUGCUGAAAGCAUCUAAGCACGAAACUUGCCCCGAGAUGAGUUCUCCCUGAGACUUAAAGUCUCCUGAAGGAACGUUGAAGACGACGACGUUGAUAGGCCGGGUGUGUAAGCGCAGCGAUGCGUUGAGCUAACCGGUACUAAUGAACCGUGAGGCUUAACCUUACAACGCCGAAG